rnacentral:lncRNA from 1 species
CUGAGAGACUGUAUGGGUUUGUGUCUGCCAUCUCUCUAGGACAUAUGGGAAACGGAGUUGCGGAGGUAUCUAGAAAUCCUUCUUUUUCCUAUACCAUUGGCUUGGAGAGACAAGGUGCUUCCGUGGAAGUCAUGCCCAAGAGCCCUGUGACAGAGCACCUAGCUACCGUGUCUGUGGGUGGCAUGUUGGAAAGGAGCAGCCAGGCAGGCUUCCUGGAGGAAGCGUCAGUCUUUGACAGCAGGAACUUGUCUCUAACUUCAGGCGGCUUCUCAUCAGGCAGCAAGACCUCUAAUCUCUCACAUCUCAUUUACUGGCACCGAGCCUCGCAAGCUUCCUGCUACUGAGCCUGGACUGAGACAAUCAACAUGUGACAUGAGACUGUCCUAGCGGUUGGGUAGUGACUGGACCCCACAGCUCCCCAGCCCCGAGGAAAACCAUGGUCCUCCUGUGGCUGUUUCUCCUGCUGGGGCUCACAUUUGCCACUUUCAGUUUAUGACGGGUCAGUGCAGCUACUGUGAGUGAAGGGCAUGUAUAAUGCCUCCCAAAUGCCUACUGUGUGCCCAAUACAUACUGGGCACUGGACACCUACGGUGUACUGAUCACCCACUAUGUGAUCUUCUCUGUAGCUCUCCAGUCAGUCA